UAAGAGCUGAGGGGUCAGAGAGGAUAUGAAACACACUCCAGAAGUCAUCAGAGGAGGGAUUGUAAAUCUGAAGAUGUUGAAAAGCAGAAAUAGCGGAGCUGCAGUGGAUGCGGUCUACCGGGAAAGAUCCAAGAGCUCCAAUGGAAAGAACAGCUCUAGUACAGGCUUGUGGUUUUGGCGAGGAAAAAGAGAGGAAGACAGCGUUGCAGCAGAGCAGGGGGGAUGGAGAUGGAG